UACGUAGGGUGCGAGCGUUGUCCGGAUUUAUUGGGCGUAAAGAGCUUGUAGGCGGCUCGUCGCGUCGGGUGUGAAAACUUGCGGCUUAACCGCAAGCCUGCACCCGAUACGGGCGGGCUAGAGUUCGGCAGGGGAGACUGGAAUUCCUGGUGUAGCGGUGGAAUGCGCAGAUAUCAGGAAGAACACCCGUGGCGAAGGCGGCUCUCUGGGACGGUACUGACGCUGAGACGCGAAAGCGUGGGGAGCGAACAGG
rnacentral:rRNA from 1 species